AUUGAACGCUGGCGGCAUGCCUUACACAUGCAAGUCGAACGGUAACGGGCCUUCGGGUGCCGACGAGUGGCGAACGGGCGGGUAAUACAUCGGAACGUGCCCGAUCGUGGGGGAUAACGAGGCGAAAGCUGUGCUAAUACCGCAUACGAUCUACGCAUGGAAGCAGGGGACCGCAAGGCCUUGCGCGGACGGAGCGGCCGAUGGCCGAUUAGGUAGUUGGUGGGAUAAAGGCUUACCAAGCCGACGAUCUGUAGCUGGUCUGAGAGGAUGAUCAGCCACACUGGGACUGAGACACGGCCCAGACUCCUACGGGAGGCAGCAGUGGGGAAUUUUGGACAAUGGGCGCAAGCCUGAUCCAGCCAUGCCGCGUGCAGGAUGAAGGCCUUCGGGUUGUAAACUGCUUUUGUACGGAACGAAAAGCCUUCUUUUAAUACAGGAGGGUCAUGACGGUACCGGAAGAAUAAGCACCGGCUAACUACGUG
rnacentral:rRNA from 1 species